UACGCGAGCUGGGUUCAGAACGUCGUGAGACAGUUCGGUCCCUAUCUGUCGCGGGCGCAGGAAAUUUGAGAGGAGCUGUCCUUAGUACGAGAGGACCGGGAUGGACGUACCGCUGGUGUACCAGUUGUUCCGCCAGGAGCACCGCUGGGUAGCCAAGUACGGACGGGAUAAGCGCUGAAAGCAUCUAAGCGUGAAGCCCCCCUCAAGAUGAGAUUUCCCAAUCCGUAAGACCCCUGGUAGACGACCAGGUUGAUAGGUUCGGGGUGGAAGCGCAGCAAUGCGUGCAGCUGACGAAUACUAAUCGGUCGAGGGCUUAUCCUAA
rnacentral:rRNA from 1 species